rnacentral:rRNA from 1 species
UAGCAUAUCAAUAAGCGGAGGAAAAGAAACUAACAAGGAUUCCCCUAGUAACUGCGAGUGAAGCGGGAAAAGCUCAAAUUUAAAAUCUGGUGGUCUUUGGCCAUCCGAGUUGUAAUUUAGAGAAGCGUCUUCCGCGCUGGACCGUGCACAAGUCUCCUGGAAUGGAGCGUCACAGAGGGUGAGAAUCCCGUCUUUGGCACGGACACACCGGGGCUUUUGUGAUGCGCUCUCGAAGAGUCGAGUUGUUUGGGAAUGCAGCUCAAAAUGGGUGGUGAACUCCAUCUAAAGCUAAAUAUUGGCGAGAGACCGAUAGCGAACAAGUACCGUGAGGGAAAGAUGAAAAGCACUUUGGAAAGAGAGUGAAACAGUACGUGAAAUUGUUGAAAGGGAAACGCUUGAAGUCAGUCGCGUCGACCGAGACUCAGCCUUGCCUUGGCUCGGUGUACUUCUCGGCCGACGGGUCAGCAUCAAUUUUGCCCCUUGGAUAAUGGCGAGGGAAAUGUGACACCUUUAUGGUGUGUUAUAGUCUCUCGUCGCAUGCGAGGGUUGGGAUUGAGGAACUCAGCACGCGCCUUUGGGUGUCGGGGUUUUGCCCACGAUACGUGCUUAGGAUGUUGGCGUAAUGGCUUUAAACGACCCGUCUUGAAACACGGACCAAGGAGUCUAACAUGCCUGCGAGUGUUCGGGUGGAAAACCCGUGCGCGCAAUGAAAGUGAAAGUCGGGACCUCUGUCGUGGAGGGCACCGACGCCCGGACCAGACCUUCUGUGACGGCUCUGCGGUAGAGCAUGCAUGUUAGGACCCGAAAGAUGGUGAACUAUGCCUGAAUAGGGUGAAGCCAGAGGAAACUCUGGUGGAGGCUCGUAGCGAUUCUGACGUGCAAAUCGAUCGUCAAAUUUGGGUAUAGGGGCGAAAGACUAAUCGAACCAUCUAGUAGCUGGGUCCU